AAACCAUGGGGUUGUGAAGAUGGUGAGACAGGGAAAACUGAUGUGAGAAAUGUAGCUGACAAAUGGAGCAGAAUCUCUAAUUCAUUUGCUCGGUGCAUCCUCUCCCUUUGAGCAGCCAGUUGCAGAAGUGAGGACAAGAAACCCAGCAAAGAAGGAAGUCAGUCUUGAGGGAAGCUUCCAUCCAGGCCCAGAUGUAGCAUCAGUUGGUAAACCUCCAAGAACAAAGAUCACAGAGAUGUCUAUGGUUGAAAAUGGAUCAAAGAGAAUUCACAAUGUCCAGAAAGAGAGGAGUGAGGCAACAAGGUGAUCAUUAUCAAGUUCCUCACCUCCGAGAACCCAGGUUAUCACACACAGGAACCAUUGUGUCCGGAAUUGGUUCCUUCCGGUGGGUUCUUGGUCUUGCUGACUUCAAGAAUGAAGCCUCAGACCCU
rnacentral:lncRNA from 1 species